UCAUGUAUUUCUGUUUAAAACCGCAACAUGUAAUUAUUUGAUGUCGUGAAAUGUCUAUAUAUAUAUUUUGUUUACAUUCUUAAGUUAGCCUCCAGACUAUCUACAUUGUCAUGGUAACCUUGGUAGGUUAUAAUAUGCAGAUCGAUAAUCCCGGUUCAGUUUGAGCUUUCCAUGUGUCUUUUUAGCCGAAUAUUAGGAUCACAACUUAACUUAAAUUAGCCGUAUAGUGUCAAUGGGCGUCAUCUGAAGCUAAUAAGAUGUUGUUACUGAAGAACAGCCCCUUGCUACUUACUUGAACAGUACGUGAAAAACACCCUAAAUAGAUUAAAGAAAUCAUACUUGACUGUGAUUGCAUUUGGUUGACGCUUACGUGUAUUUCUCAUCAGUAGAUCAAGGGGGUAAUCUUCUACAUUUCAGGUCCAAGCUUUCAAUGCAUUUUUCUAUCUUUUUUUCAUAUCCCAAUCAUCAUCUGCAAGGCCGAAGCAUGCAUGUCUACAUGGUUUUGUGGCACUGAUUUCGUUCCAUGCCAGUUUAUUUCUAACAGUUGGUCUGCUUCUUCAUAGAGAUUUUAUCAGUAUACUAAAUUAAAUAAGAAACUGAAUGUGUACUGCUUUUACCUUCAGUUUGAACAUGAUUGUCCUAUUUGUGACAUAGGUGAAAAUUAGCAAGCAAGCAACAGUCGGUGCAUGGAUGACCAAGUUUACUUUUUACUUUAUGAAGAUGAUGAUUCCUAAAUAGAAUUACGAGCUAGGUCCUGCAUGUUGACCGUGCUUCAAGGGUAGAAGAGAAUGGGAGGAGGGGACGCGCGCUCCAUAUUUUGUUAUGCACACCUUCCUAAACUAUACUUUUCUUCUUAAUAUAUGUUCAUUGUCCAGCAGAAGCUGUAGAUUUCAGCGUACAAUAAUUUCCAAAAUGGUAGAAGGCAUUCAAGAUCUGGCAGGGCUGGGUCAACCGGCCCUUCGUGUUCAAGACCCGGCUCUGAUGAGCCUUGACAGUCCUGCUACCGGCUGGGCAUCGUCAUCCUGAGCCAUGUCCGGAACCAGACCAGUAGGGGCACCCUAAGCGAGCACUCGAGGCAUGCUGUCAAG